rnacentral:tRNA from 1 species
GGGCGAUUAGCUCAGCUGGGAGAGCGCUGCCCUCACAUGGCAGAGGUCGCAGGUUCAAACCCUGCAUCGCCCA